UACGUAGGAUGCAAGCGUUGUCCGGAAUUAUUGGGCGUAAAGAGUUCGUAGGCGGUUGCCUAAGUCUGGUGUUAAAUACAGGAGCUCAACUCCUGCAUGGCACUGGAAACUGGGCGGCUAGAGUGUGGUAGAGGUCACGGGAAUUCCAGGUGUAGCGGUGAAAUGCGCAGAUAUCAGGAGGAACACCGAUGGCGAAGGCAGGUCUCUGGGCCGAUACUGACGCUGAGGAGCGAAAGCGUGGGGAGCGAACAGG
rnacentral:rRNA from 1 species